AGUGAACGCUGGCGGUAGGCCUAACACAUGCAAGUCGAACGGCAGCACAGUAAGAGCUUGCUCUUACGGGUGGCGAGUGGCGGGCGGGUGAGGAAUACAUCGGAAUCUACUUUUUCGUGGGGGAUAAUGUAGGGAAACUUACGCUACUACCGCAUACGACCUACGGGUGAAAGCAGGGGAUCUUCGGACCUUGCGCGAUUGAAUGAGCCGAUGUCGGAUUAGCUAGUUGGCGGGGUAAGGGCCCACCAAGGCGACGAUCCGUAGCUGGUCUGAGAGGAUGAUCAGCCACACUGGAACUGAGACACGGUCCAGACUCCUACGGGAGGCGGCAGUGGGGAAUAUUGGACAAUGGGCGCAAGCCUGAUCCAGCCAUACCGCGUGGGUGAAGAAGGCCUUCGGGUUGUAAAGCCCUUUUGUUGGGAAAGAAAAGCAGCAGGUUAAUACCUCGCUGUUCUGACGGUACCCAAAGAAUAAGCACCGGCUAACUUCGUG
rnacentral:rRNA from 1 species